GAUGUAAUUAUCCGCCCCCCCCCCCCUUAGGGAGGGCNGUCUAAAUAAUAUCAUAUUCAACAACACCCUUAUUAAUGUAACACNCNNNNCUAUUUUUAAAAUGUUCGUCCUGGUUUUGUAACUAAAAUGGUUUGGCAGUGAGCGAUUCUUGUUAGGGGAAGAUGCAUAGUAAAGGAUGGUCCACCUAUUAUUUCACUCUUGUUAUGUUGGUGUAUAUCUGGUUUGAUAUUAUCGUUUAAUGGUUUGAGUUUGUGUAGUUUUAGUUAAGCCAAGUCUAUGUGCUGCUUAUGGGAGNNNUGNNGUNC
rnacentral:rRNA from 1 species